UACGUAGGGGGCAAGCGUUGUCCGGAUUUACUGGGCGUAAAGCGUGCGCAGGCGGUUGUGUAAGACAGAUGUGAAAUCCCCGGGCUCAACCUGGGAACUGCAUUUGUGACUGCACGGCUGGAGUGCGGCAGAGGGGGAUGGAAUUCCGCGUGUAGCAGUGAAAUGCGUAGAUAUGCGGAGGAACACCGAUGGCGAAGGCAAUCCCCUGGGCCUGCACUGACGCUCAUGCACGAAAGCGUGGGGAGCAAACAGG
rnacentral:rRNA from 1 species